GCCCGAGUAGCUCAGGGGUAGAGCGUUUCCUUGGUAAGGAAAAGGUCACGAGUUCAAUUCUCGUCUUGGGCUCCA
rnacentral:tRNA from 1 species